rnacentral:rRNA from 1 species
GACGAACGCUGGCGGCGUGCUUAACACAUGCAAGUCGAGCGGUAAGGCCCUUUCGGGGGUACACGAGCGGCGAACGGGUGAGUAACACGUGGGUGACCUGCCCUUAGCUCUGGGAUAAGCCUGGGAAACUGGGUCUAAUACCGGAUAUGACUCCAUGACGCAUGUUGUGGGGUGGAAAGCCUUGUGCGGCUAGGGAUGGGCCCGCGGCCUAUCAGCUUGUUGGUGGGGUGAUGGCCUACCAAGGCGACGACGGGUAGCCGGCCUGAGAGGGCGACCGGCCACACUGGGACUGAGACACGGCCCAGACUCCUACGGGAGGCAGCAGUGGGAAUCUUGCGCAAUGGGCGAAAGCCUGACGCAGCGACGCCGCGUGAGGGAUGACGGCCU